rnacentral:rRNA from 1 species
GUCGAGCGGAAACGAUACCAGCUUGCUGGUAGGCGUCGAGCGGCGGACGGGUGAGUAACACUUAGGAAUCUACCUAGUAGUGGGGGAUAGCUCGGGGAAACUCGAAUUAAUACCGCAUACGACCUACGGGAGAAAGGGGGCAACUUGUUGCUCUCGCUAUUAGAUGAGCCUAAGUCGGAUUAGCUAGUUGGUGGGGUAAAGGCCUACCAAGGCGACGAUCUGUAGCUGGUCUGAGAGGAUGAUCAGCCACACCGGGACUGAGACACGGCCCGGACUCCUACGGGAGGCAGCAGUGGGGAAUAUUGGACAAUGGGGGCAACCCUGAUCCAGCCAUGCCGCGUGUGUGAAGAAGGCCUUUUGGUUGUAAAGCACUUUAAGCAGUGAAGAAGACCUAAUGGUUAAUACCCAUUAGCGAUGACAUUAGCUGCAGAAUAAGCACCGGCUAACUCUGUGCCAGCAGCCGCGGUAAUACAGAGGGUGCAAGCGUUAAUCGGAAUUACUGGGCGUAAAGCGAGCGUAGGUGGCUUGAUAAGUCAGAUGUGAAAUCCCCGGGCUUAACCUGGGAACUGCAUCUGAUACUGUUAGGCUAGAAUAGGUGAGAGGAA